GAGCAGUAGUCACAGCAGUCCCACACACGAAGAGCUUAUUGGCUAAGUAGCUUAGAAACCAACUCUAGGUUUGGGGGUUUUAAGUUCAUUCUUCGUUCUUGUCCAGGGCAAAUCUACCCAACCUAUGGACAGACCCUCUUCAGCUGGGUUCCCACAGGUAGGGCAAACCUUUCCCAUUCCUGCUGACUUGCUGGGUAGGGAUCAGGGAGAGUUGUAUUAUAAUUAGGAAAGUUGCACUUGAACCCCAGCCUAGGUGACCUGGGUUCUUUGUGUCUCAUUCUUUAGUCUAGACCAGAGUGAGGUCACCCAAUGCUAGAGAUAGUGCUUGCUGCAUGGUUCUUGUUUGUUAUCUCUCAUUUGCAGGCCCCGGAUAGUGACAUCCAAAGAGGGAAGAGUAAGUAGUUAGGGAAGGUCCCAAGCUAACUCGCCCUGGGGCUGUAACACUUCCAUCUCUUCACUAGGUGCCUGUGAUGGGUGGUCCUCUGCUAUUCUCUUUGAAAGGUUCUGAGGGUUCAGGACUUAGCUCUGUUGGCAGAAUGUUUCCCCUCUAUCCCCAGCAACACAUUAAACUGGGUGCCUGCCUAGAAGCCUUCGAGGCCAUCCAUCAGCCACAUCAAAAGUAUGAGGCGUGUGCUAUGUGAGAUUGUGCCUCACAGAAUUAAUAAGGAAAGCUGUCUCAGCCUUUAGGGAUGGUUAUUGCUGCAGAGGACCAGGGUUGGGGUUCCAGGACCCACAACUAUCUAUAACUCCAGUUCCAGAGAAUCUGUCUGGCCUUUGUGGGCACGGCACACAUGUGGUGUAUAUGGUGUACAUACAUGUAGGACAUGUACAGGCAAACAUUCAUACACAUAAAGUAAAAGCAAGAAAAUCUAAAAAAUAUUUAAAAGUAAAGAUUUUUGACAGUUUUUUUCUUGUUUGUUUGUUUGUUUGUUUGUUUGUUUUUGUUUUUUUUAACUCUGUAACCCUGGCUGGACUGGAACUUGCUGUGUCGACCUACUUCUAAUUCACAUAGAUCUCCCUCCUGCCUCUGCUUUCUGCUUUCUGUAAUUAAAUGUGUAUGUUACCACA
rnacentral:lncRNA from 1 species